GUGGUAUUUAGAGUUUAGAACUCGGGCGACGCCAAUCGCGCAUUCGCAUUGAGGGCGACCUUCAAGGGCUGCGAGUCAGGGUAUUUAUCGGAGUGUGGGCAAUGGGCGACGUGUCUGAGCGCACUCUGCACCUGGUGGUGCUCCUGGCCUUCGCCUCCGGGGUGCUGGUGGGCUGGCAGUCUAACCGGAUCCGCAGGAGGUACCUGGACUGGAGGAAGAAGAGUUUACAGAGCAGACUGGCGGAGACCCAGAAGAAGCUGGACCUCUCAUGAAGAGCCCGUGCAGUGAGUGUACAUGGAGACACUAUUAUCUGAUUAUAGCUGCAGGCAGAGCAUGUAACCAUCAAUGAGGGAUGCUCACUGAACAUCUGUUUUUAGUGAUUUGUAGAAAGUACUGACUAGGAAACUGAUAACCAAGUCUGCUCUCCAAAGCCCUAAAGCUGAAGUUGUUUAGGGGUUAACAGCGAGUGUCACCUCUUUCUUACUUUUUUAAAGUGUUGGUUUAUCUUGAAAUUGGCAUUUAAAAAAAAAAAAUUAGGUUCUGGGUUACACCUUUCCAUCAUCCAGAAGGGUGCCCUUACUAACGCUUUGAAUGUGAGCUUUAAAAAAACACUAUGGUGUCAGGGAUACAAACUUGUAUUUAUGACACUGUAGUUGUAAUAUUAUUAUUAUUAUUAUUAUUAUUAUUAUUAUUAUUAUUAUUAUUGCCAUUUAUAUAGCGCCAACAGAUUCCGUAGUGCUUUACAAUAUUUUGAGAGGGGGGAUGUAACAAUAAAUAGGACAAUUACAAGAAAACUUACAGGAACAAUAGGUUGAAGAGGACCCUGCUCAGAUGAGCUUACAGACUAUAGGACAGUGAUGGCGAACCUAUGGCACGCGUGCCACAGGUGGCACGCCGAGCCCCCUCUGUGGGCACGCGGCCAUAGGUCGCCGGAGGGAGGGUGCGCUCCGCCGGCGCAUCCAUAAGGCGGCACAAGUGGCCGCCUUAGGGUGCACCAGCCCGGCGGGCGCAAAGCCACAGUGACCGGCAGGAGGUGAGCGCAUAGCGCUCCCUCCUGCCAGACACUCUGUGUAGCGUGGCCGAGCGCACCGCGGUACAGGAACUUAUGUUUCCUGUACCCGGGCGGCUGGAAAUGAAGUGCUCACAGAGAGAGCACUUNNNNNNNNNNNNNNNNNNNNNNNNNNNNNNNNNNNNNNNNNNNNNNNNNNNNNNNNNNNNNNNNNNNNNNNNNNNNNNNNNNNNNNNNNNNNNNNNNNNNGAUAUGGGGGGGAAACUGAGGGAGAGAUAUGGGGGGAAGCUGAGGGAGAGAGAUGGGGGGAAACUGAGGGAGAGAGAUGGGGGGAAACUGAGGGAGAGAGAUGGGGGGGAACUGAGGGAGAGAGAUGGGGGGAACUGAGUGGGAGAGAGAUGGGAGGGGAAACUGAGUGGGAGAGAGAUGGGAGGUGAAACUGAGUGGGAGAGAUGGGAUGGAAACUGAGGGAGAGAUGGGACGGAAACUGAGGGGGAGAGUUAUGGGGGGGAACUGAGGGAGGUAUAGGGGGAGAAAACUGAGUGUGGGACGGGGAGGGGGACACACACAGCAAUUCUGCCCUGCCACAUCACACAAUGACACAUCACCUCACCUAAUACGUCACACAUAAAAUGUACCUCAAUGCAGUGUGGUGGCAUCGGUAAAACUGUUCAGGUGCAUAUCGGCAGUUCGCCCAGGUGCUAACACUGCAGUCUGCCCAGGUGCACACUGGCAGUUCGUCUGUGGUGAUCGGCACAGCCAGGUGCACACUCGGCAGUCUGCCUGUGUGUGCACACUCGGCAGUCUGCCUGUGUGUGCACACUCGGCAGUCUGCCUGUGUGUGCACACUCGGCAGUCUGCCUGUGUGUGCACACUCGGCAGUCUGCCUGUGUGUGCACACUCGGCAGUCUGCCUGUGUGUGCACACUCGGCAGUCUGUGUGUGUAGACAGACUGCUAAGUACACACACAGAGAUGUUAAUUAGUUCGGACAACUGUAUGAGUUGUUUUUUCGAAACUUAAACCUCAGUAUUCAGGUUUAAAUGCCGUUUUGGCACUUUGAGGGAAAAAAAAUUGGCAUGUAUUACGUUUUGGGCACUCGGGCUCAAAAAGGUUCGCCAUCACUGCUAUAGGAGGUGGGGUAUUUGAAACAUUAGGACAAGAAAUAUCAAGUAGGAGUGAAGCAGAGCUGGAGGAGAGAGCAAAGCACUGUCCCAUAGGAGAGAGCAGGAGACAGGUAUGUAACGUUGAGAUUACUCUGGGAGGCCAUACGCUUUCCUGAAGAGAUGGGGUUUUAAGGCCCUUCUUAAAUGAUUGAAGACUAGGGGAGAGUCUGAUGGCAGUAGGCAAGCUAUUCCAUAGGAGAGGAGCCGCCCGCGAGAGGUCCUGCAAGCGCGAGUUGGCCGUACGGGUGCGAGCAGUGGUCAGGAGGUGGUCACGGGCAGAGCGGAGGGUACGAGGAGGGGCAUUUCUAUGGAUUAGUGAAGAGAUAUAAGUGGGGCUAGAAUUGUUCAGUGCUUUAAAUGUAUGGGUUAGCACUUUGAAUUGACUCCUAUAGCAUACAGGGAGCCAAUGUAAGGACUGGCAGAGGGGUGAGGUGUGAGGUGUGAGAGGACCGACUAGAGAGGAAAAUCAGUCUAGCUGCAGCAUUCAUUACAGACUGUAGCGGGGCAAUACGGCUUUUGGGGAGACCAAUCAGGAGAGGGUUAUAGUAAUCCAUGCGGGAAAUUACUAGAGCAUGGACAAGCUCCUUGGUAGCAUCUUGCGUAAGAAAGGGGCGAAUGCGGGCUAUGUUUUUGAGUUGGAGCCUACAGGACUUGGCAACAAACUGGAUGUGAGACUCAAAGGUGAGACCAGAGUCAAGUAUGACGCCAAGACAGCGCGCUUGCAGGGAUGGACUUAUGUGGAUAUCACUGACUUGAAGGGAGAGCGAGAGAGGAGGAUCAAUAUUAGGAGGAGGAAAGACAAGGAAUUCAGUUUUAGAGAGGUUGUUUCAGAAAGCGUGAGGACAUCCAGUCAGAGAUGGAAGAAAGGCAAGCAGUGACACGUUGCAGGACGGCAGGGGAGAGGUCCAGGGAGUAGAGGUAUAUCUGAGUGUCAUCAGCGUACAGGUGGUAGUGGAAUCCAAAAGAGGCAAUAAGUUUACCAAGAGAGGCAGUAUAAAGAGUAAAUAGAAGGGGACCAAGGACAGACCCUUGGGGAACUCCAACCGAGACAGGACGAGGGGAGGAGGUAUCCUUGGAAAAGAAGACACUGAAUGAGCGUUGGGAGAGAGAGGAGGAAAACCAAGAGAGGACAGAGUCACAUAGAUCGAGUGAUUGAAGAGUUUGAAGGAGGAGAGCAUGAUCAACGGUGUCAAAAGCAGCAGAGAGGUCAAGGAGAAUUAAUAUGGAGUAAUGACCUUUUGGAUUUAGCGGAGAUUAGGUCACUAGUCACUUUGAUAAGAGCAGUCUCAGUAGAGUGGAGAGGGCGGAAGCCAGACUGAAGAGGGUCAAGGAGAGAGUUGGAAUUAAGGAAGCGGGACACACUGGUAAAGACAAGUCUUUCCAAAAGCUUUGAUGAGAAAGGGAGCAGGGAUAUGGGACGAUAGUUAGAAGGGGAGGAUGGGUCAAGAAAUGUUUUUUUUUUUUUUUUCAGGAUAGGUAUUACAGUGGCAUUUUUAAGGUCAGCAGGAACAGUGCCAGAAGAGAGAGAGAGCAGUUAAAGAUGUGUGUUAGGGUAGGCACAAGACAAGGGGAGAGAGGUGAGAUGGGACAGGAUCGAGCGGGCAAGUGGUGGGGCGAGAGGAAUGGAGAAGCGCAGCCACCUCUUGUUCAGUAGCCAGGUAGAAAUUCUGGAGGGUAGGGAAAGCAAGAUUUACAUGUGGUUGAGAAAGAACGGCAAGGAGGGGAGAAUUGUUUCCUUAGCUGUUCAAUCUUGUUAGUAAAGUAGCAUGCAAAGCUAUCAGCUGUAAGGUUAGUUUGGGGGGUGGCUACAGCAGGGCGGAGAAGUGAAUUAAAGGUGUCAAAGAGGUGUCUGGGAUUGCGGGAGCAUGAACUAAUGAGAGAGGAAAAGUAUGACUGUUUGGCGAGGGCUGCGCUGUAUGAAAGCAACAUGAAUCUAUAAUGGAGAAAGUCUGCCUGGGUGCGGGACUUCCUCCAGGAGCGUUCAGCACAACGGGAGCAACUCUGCAGAUAGCGUGUUGAUUUAUUAUGCCAAGGUUGGGGUCGUGUCCUCCUCGAGGUGCAUGUUUUGAGUGGGGCAGCAGCGUUCAAGGCAGAUGUGAGGGUAGUGUUAUAUGUGGAGAUGGCCAGUGAGGGACAGGAGAGGGAAGGGAUGGAUAGCAGUUGUGAAUCAAUGUCAGCUGACAGCUGCUGGAGGUCAAUAGAGUUAAGGUUCCUCCUGAGCUGAGGGGGGUUAGGCUGAGAUUGUUGGGUGAAGGGGUAAUUGAGAGCAAAUGAUAAGAGGUGGUGAUCAGAGAGAGGAAAUGGGGUGUUGCAGAUAUUAGUAACAUGACUGUUUAUGUCCCCG
rnacentral:lncRNA from 1 species